GACGCAGCCUUCAUUUACAUCUUGUCUCGAUUUCGUUCAAAGUAGUUUAGGGGCAACAGGAUUUUCGAGAUUAAGUCUCACGCCUGUUCAUCCUUUACCCGCGAGAUCUACACUUGGUGUUUUCCAUCCCCUCUCACCCCUUAGCAUCUCUCCGAUCAAACCGACUUUGGCCUAGUUUAUCAACCUCUACCAAACAAGCAAGUGCAAGUCC
rnacentral:lncRNA from 1 species